UGUGUCGCUAGAAAGAACCAGAGAGAAGGAAAAUCCCUUCUUCUCCAACACAUUCCAAAAUUCAGCAAAUUGAAGAUGAUUUAAGGAUAAUUUCGAAUGCAUGUCUCUAAUUUCUCAAUCGUCUAAGUAUUCUCAACUCUAGGCGUGAAGGAAGAGGAUACAAGUCAAUCCGGUUCGCAAGCAAGUGCAAAACAAAGGUAAAUCUCAUCUUUGAUGAUGCCGAGCUUGGAUCGAACACACCGCGCCACCCUUUACGCGCUUCCGGUUCAAGUUUGUCUUUUGUAAACGGGUCAAAACUAUUUUAGAAUGUAAAUGUUAGUUUUUCAAGAUUAAGGUCUUUUGUUAGUAAGUAUGUUAAAUUUGUACUCGAAAUGGUGGAUUGUGUUAGCUCUUGUGAUUAAAUUAGAUGGUUACGUUGAUUUUGAA